rnacentral:lncRNA from 1 species
CCCUAGUCGACUCUCCGCCGUUCUAUCCGGCCAGGAUACCGACUCUGGCAAUUCGAUCUUUCUCUGUUUUCUUCGUUUUCUUUGUUAUUUCACUCAUGGUUUUCACUUAUACCAGUUGAUAGAGGCCAACGGAUGAACACUUUCUAGUGAUGAGUGCCUGGAUUUCGAUUCGGGCAUGUGAUUCAUUCUAUGCGUUUGAUAGGAAGAUCUGAUGCCUCAUUCUUUAUCUGCUUUUUCCUCUAUGUUUUCUCAUGAUUUUGCCGGUGAUGACUAUGUAAAUCUUAACAGAAGCACAGAAUCUGUGUAUCUGUGUUGAAAAAAAUUAUCAUGAACUAGGACGGUCUGAGGCUCUGCUUUAACCCUUUUUUUAUAUUUUUUUAUUUUAGAUUUCUGUUCUCUUCCUUGGGAGUGAUGAGACAAUUUUAUUAACAGUUAUCCCUGUCUGAUCUAUGGAUGCUGAAAAUUUGUUAUCUGACCCAACU